CACGUAGGGCGCAAGCGUUGUCCGGAAUUAUUGGGCGUAAAGAGCUCGUAGGUGGUUUGUUACGUCUGCUGUGAAAACCUAGGGCUUAACCCUGGGCUUGCAGUGGAUACGGGCAGACUAGAGGUAGGUAGGGGAGAAUGGAAUUCCUGGUGUAGCGGUGAAAUGCGCAGAUAUCAAGAGGAACACCGGUGGCGAAGGCGGCGUCCUGGACCAACACUGACACUGAUGAGCGAAAGCCAGGGGAGCAAACGGG
rnacentral:rRNA from 1 species